rnacentral:rRNA from 1 species
CCUACGGGAGGCAGCAGUAGGGAAUCUUCCGCAAUGGACGAAAGUCUGACGGAGCAACGCCGCGUGAGCGAUGAAGGCCUUCGGGUCGUAAAGCUCUGUUGUCAGGGAAGAACAAGUACCGGAGUAACUGCCGGUACCUUGACGGUACCUGACCAGAAAGCCACGGCUAACUACGUGCCAGCAGCCGCGGUAAUACGUAGGUGGCAAGCGUUGUCCGGAAUUAUUGGGCGUAAAGCGCGCGCAGGCGGUUCCUUAAGUCUGAUGUGAAAGCCCCCGGCUCAACCGGGGAGGGUCAUUGGAAACUGGGGAACUUGAGUGCAGAAGAGGAGAGCGGAAUUCCACGUGUAGCGGUGAAAUGCGUAGAGAUGUGGAGGAACACCAGUGGCGAAGGCGGCUCUCUGGUCUGUAACUGACGCUGAGGCGCGAAAGCGUGGGGAGCAAACAGGAUUAGAUACCCUGGUAGUCCACGCCGUAAACGAUGAGUGCUAAGUGUUAGGGGGUUUCCGCCCCUUAGUGCUGCAGCUAACGCAUUAAGCACUCCGCCUGGGGAGUACGGCCGCAAGGCUGAAACUCAAAGGGAAUUGACGG